rnacentral:rRNA from 1 species
GUGCCAGCAGCCGCGGUAAUACGUAGGGGGCAAGCGUUGUCCGGAAUUAUUGGGCGUAAAGGGCGCGCAGGCGGUCUUCUAAGUCUGAUGUGAAAUCCCACGGCUUAACCGUGGAAGGUCAUUGGAAACUGGAGGACUUGAGUGCAGAAGAGGAGAGUGGAAUUCCAUGUGUAGCGGUGAAAUGCGUAGAGAUAUGGAGGAACACCAGUGGCGAAGGCGACUCUCUGGUCUGCAACUGACGCUGAGGCGCGAAAGCGUGGGUAGCGAACAGGAUUAGAUACCCUGGUAGUCCACGCCGUAAACAAUGAGUGCUAGGUGUCAGGGGGUUUCCGCCCCUUGGUGCUGGAGUUAACGCAUUAAGCACUCCGCCUGGGGAGUACGGCCGCAAGGCUGAAACUCAAAAGAAUUGACGGGGGCCCGCACAAGCGGUGGAGCAUGUGGUUUAAUUCGAAGCAACGCGAAGAACCUUACCAGGUCUUGACAUCCUCUGAUAGCUCUAGAGAUAGAGUGUUCCCUUCGGGGACAGAGUGACAGGUGGUGCAUGGUUGUCGUCAGCUCGUGUCGUGAGAUGUUGGGUUAAGUCCCGUAACGAGCGCAACCCUUAAUCUUAGUUGCCAGCAUUUAGUUGGGCACUCUAAGGUGACUGCCGGUGACAAACCGGAGGAAGGUGGGGAUGACGUCAAAUCAUCAUGCCCCUUAUGACCUGGGCAACACACGUGCUACAAUGGAUGGUACAGAGGGCAGCGAAGCCGCGAGGUGAAGCAAAUCCCAUAAAACCAUUCUCAGUUCGGAUUGUAGGCUGCAAUUCGCCUACAUGAAGCAGGAAUCGCUAGUAAUCGUGGAUCAGCAUGCCACGGUGAAUACGUUCCCGGGCCUUGUACACACCGCCCGUCACACCACGAGAGUUGACAACACCCGAAGUCGGUAGAGUAACCGUAAGGAGCUAGCCGCCGAAGGUGGGGUCAAUGAUUGGGGUGAAGUCGUAACAAGGUAACC